GGAAAAGCAUGCAGGAACUGCUAACUCCCGCCCCCGUGGCUAGCCCCACGGCUUUUCCA
rnacentral:tRNA from 1 species